CUUGGGCCCGGAUUACCGUUUGGCACCCGCACAGCAUUCCCCAUUAUAAUCCGACCAUGAUGCUGCACCGAAUGAGAACGCCGGGAAUCUUUCAAGAGCGACUAACCGAGCGAAAGGAUUUGUUUGUCUUAUGGAAAAACCGCCUGCAACUGAUUAAAAUGAUUUGUCUCGGUCCGGAGUUUCAGAAGCGUUUGGGACGACAUGGGUGAAGCAAUAUUGCGAGUACGACAAAGAUUCGAGGAAGUUGCUGUUGGUGCCGUAUUCCCAUUCACACACCCAUGGCAAAGCGACGAGUCCACAACAAAUCUUGACGCUCAAGUCGUACCAAAGACGUCCCGGUGAUUCGAUUGAGAAACGUUUCUGCUUUGGUCUCGUCACUGAUGAACGGUUUAUCAGAAGCCCGGAAAACACUUCCACAAGCCGGAAUGUGAGUUGUGAAACGUGCUUUUUUUGACUUAAACAGAAAACCUAAAUUGGAUUUUAAAGAAGUUGACAC